rnacentral:rRNA from 1 species
GCUUAGCCCUAAACCUCAGUAGUUAAACCAACAAAACUACUCGCCAGAAUACUACAAGCAACCGCUUGAAACUCAAAGGACUUGGCGGUGCUUCACACCCCCC